GACGAACGCUGGCGGCGUGCUUAACACAUGCAAGUCGAACGGAAAGGCCCCUUUGGGGGUCCUCGAGUGGCGAACGGGUGAGUAACACGUGAGUAACCUGCCCUUGACUUCGGGAUAACUUCAGGAAACUGGGGCUAAUACCGGAUAGGAAUCCUUGCUGCAUGGUGGGGGUUGGAAAGCUUCGGCGGUUUUGGAUGGACUCGCGGCUUAUCAGCUUGUUGGUGGGGUAGUGGCUUACCAAGGCUUUGACGGGUAGCCGGCCUGAGAGGGCGACCGGCCACAUUGGGACUGAGAUACGGCCCAGACUCCUACGGGAGGCAGCAGUGGGGAAUAUUGCACAAUGGGCGGAAGCCUGAUGCAGCAACGCCGCGUGCGGGAUGACGGCCUUCGGGUUGUAAACCGCUUUCAGCAGGGGCGAAGCUUGUGGUGACGGUACCUGCACAAGAAGCACCGGCUAACUACGUG
rnacentral:rRNA from 1 species